rnacentral:RNase_P_RNA from 1 species
UGUGCAAGUCGUCCUGUCGCUCUCCCGAUCAAAAGUCGGGAGGGAGGAAAGUCCGGGCAACACAGAGCGCCAUACUUCCUAACGGGAAGGCUCUCGACCGGCGACGGUCAGGAGACAGCUAGUGCCACAGAAAACAAACCGCCGCAUUGACACAGGGCUAGCCCUGAGCCUGUCAAUAGGUAAGGGUGAAAAGGUGGAGUAAGAGCCCACCGCCCCGACAGUGAUGAAGGGGGCACGGCAAACCUUAUGGGUUGAAAGAUCAAAUAGGCCCCGGGCAAAGAGCUGCUCGUUCGAUUCUUUCUCUUUGGAGAUGGAUUCCGGGGUGGGUAGAUCGAUAGAGUCCAGGUGUGAAUCUGGAUCGAGAUAAAUGACAGGAGUCAGUCCCGAUAGCUAUCGGGAGGAAACAGAACCCGGCUUACAGACUUGCACUUUUU